rnacentral:rRNA from 1 species
UGUUUGAUGUUCUAACGUGGACCCGUGAUCCGGGUUGCGGACAGUGUCUGGUGGGUAGUUUGACUGGGGCGGUCUCCUCCUAAAGAGUAACGGAGGAGCACGAAGGUUGGCUAAUCCUGGUCGGACAUCAGGAGGUUAGUGCAAUGGCAUAAGCCAGCUUGACUGCGAGCGUGACGGCGCGAGCAGGUGCGAAAGCAGGUCAUAGUGAUCCGGUGGUUCUGAAUGGAAGGGCCAUCGCUCAACGGAUAAAAGGUACUCCGGGGAUAACAGGCUGAUACCGCCCAAGAGUUCAUAUCGACGGCGGUGUUUGGCACCUCGAUGUCGGCUCAUCACAUCCUGGGGCUGAAGUAGGUCCCAAGGGUAUGGCUGUUCGCCAUUUAAAGUGGUACGCGAGCUGGGUUUAGAACGUCGUGAGACAGUUCGGUCCCUAUCUGCCGUGGGCGCUGGAGAACUGAGGGGGGCUGCUCCUAGUACGAGAGGACCGGAGUGGACGCAUCACUGGUGUUCGGGUUGUCAUGCCAAUGGCACUGCCCGGUAGCUAAAUGCGGAAGAGAUAAGUGCUGAAAGCAUCUAAGCACGAAACUUGCCCCGAGAUGAGUUCUCCCUGAGACUUUAAGUCUCCUGAAGGAACGUUGAAGACGACGACGUUGAUAGGCCGGGUGUGUAAGCGCAGCGAU